ACAAGCACAAAUUGAAAAGUAAACAUAUGUUUAUGCAAACAAAAGAUGACCAAAAGUGGGUGACGUGUGGCAGAGACCGGGGGACGCGAUCGAGCGAACCAGGCGUAUGAAGGGAAAACCUGACCAAGGAAACGUACGGUCGUGCAGAUAAAAAAAUAGUACCACCUCGGAUAGUUUAAUUUUUUUUAAAAAAAAUAUGUGUGAACGGACCAAAAAAUCAGAGAAAUGCACCAUACUUAUACGUGCGAACGGACCAAAAACCUCUCGAGAAAAAUUUUGGCCUCCAACUUGAUGCGAGCGAAUAUUAUCAAAGGGAGGGCACUAGUUUGCUUGAAAACCCUCACGUUGCAUUCGUUCCAAAUUGCCAUUGACACGAGCAUGAUAAGCGACGACAUGGCCUUCCUCCUACUCCCAUGGGCGAGGGAAAGAUGCUCCCACCAAGAUUGAACAUCACUGAAAGUUGCCCACUCUGAAGGGUUGAAGUCAUCGAUACCGAGCCAAUCCUUAAUCAUUCCCCAAAUGUGAAUGGAGUAGCGGCAAGUGAAGAGGAGGUGGUGCGUUGUCUCGUCCUCGCAACGGCAAAGGGGGCAAAGGCGACCAUAGGCCACCCUCUACGUUCAAGGUGGUCAGUUGUCCAAACACGGUUUUGGAUGAUGAGCCAAGCAGAGAGUUUGUAUUUGGAAGGAUCCCAAUUCUUCCAAACCAAAGCGUCCAUCGAAAAAAAAUAAACUGUUUUUUUAAUGAUGACAUCAUUGAAAAAAUUAGUUUAUUUUUUGAACUAAAUAGGGUAGAUGGUACCCUAAUAAUGACCCACUUGUAACUCUAAUUGCACAAGAUCAAUCGACCUGGGGCUUCUCAUCCUUGUUGUGGUGAGUGUGCUGCUGCUCCAACCUAAUUAAGAGCAUGUUUGGUUCACAUGAUUUGUACAAACAUAGUGAUACGAAAAACACAUGAAUAUAAUAAGAAUAUAUGAACAAAAUGAAGGAUUUAGAAACACAGAAAUUCUGAAGGAAUAUGGUCAAGCAAAGUCAUACGGCAUGAGAAAAUAUAAUCAAAGUCGUAUUUGGAAUUAAUUUGAUAUUUAGGACAAGAGUUUGGGUCUCAUUUUUGGUUUGAUUUAGAUUUGCCAUUUUAUUUCAUUUUUGUUUCUCUCAAAACUUUACAUUUAGGAGUUGGCCUCUAUAUAUACAUACACGCACAUGCAUUGGCUGUAGCUAUGCAAGUCACAUGCACGUACACGUCAGCUUGGUCAUGUAGGUAACUAGUACAUGUACCAAUUGCUUCUUUUCCUCUUGUCUUUCUUCUUUGGAAAAAGUCCAAAAUAAACCUUGAAGUUGUAGACAAAAGUUAAAUCAAACCCUGAACUUUGAAUCCUGGAAUUAGCACUCUGAACUUGUAAUCCCGGUCUAUUUUGGACUCUAGACCUGUUUGGCACGCUGGGAAGACUACAAUCCCGGCCGGGAUUCCAGCUACUCUCACGGACUAGAGAUUGGGCCGGCCCACUAUAACACAACAAGAAUUUGUGAGGUUUAAAAAAUGUUUGCACAUUUCUAAAUUGUUCAAAAGUUAAAAGUGUUUCUGUUUUAUAUUUUUCGCACAAAUUCAAUUCGUUUUGUGUUUUUAAAAACUGUUUGGAAUUUCGUGUUUCACACAAAAUCAACUCUAUUAGCAUUUUAAAAAACUGUUCGCGAUUCCAAAGAAAUCACAUUUAUCAAAAAAUGUACAGAAUUCCAAUAGUUUUUCACAUGCUAUGCGUAUUUUCAAUAUUACAUAUUUAUUUAUGAAAUCUUUGAACAUUUUAUAAAGUGCAAGAACUUUUUGAAAAUUUUGAAUACUUCUAAAAAACCAACAACUUUGAAAUAGCGAACACCUUUAUAAACAUUUCUUGAAACCUGAACAAAAUUUAAAGUGCAAACACUUUUUGAAACAUAAAUUUUUUUCUGCAACCUGAACAAAAUUUUAAAGUGCGGACACGUUUUGAUACAUAAACAUUUUACGAAACCUGAAAAUAUUUUGUGACAUCUAAAAAAUAUGUACGAACCAAUCCAAAUGUUAAUACAAUGUAUAAUAAUAUUUGUGUGAUUCAAACAAAUGUUUUAUACAUUCAAAAAAAUGUAACAUUUCAAGAAUGAUCACGAGUUCCAAAAAAUGUGUUUGUGACAUUUUUAAAAGAAUGUGUUAACAAGUGUAAACAAAUAUUUGUGAGAUGUAAAAAAAUGUGUCAUAACCUUAAAAGAAUAUAUGUGGCAUGUCCUUGAAAAAAGUGUGGGCAAAUUUAAAAAUGUUGAACCACGUAAAAGAGUGUUGUGUAGUUUUAUAAAAUAUUUAUUGUCAUUAAGAAAAUGUAAAACAUGUAGUUGAAAAAAUAUUACCAUGUAUUCAAAAAGUUUUUAAAACAUGUAAUUUAUAAAUGUACAUAAUAUAUUUGAAAAUAUCAAAAGUUUAUCCAAAAAUAUUUAAUGUGUGCGUUAAAAAUGUACAUUGGGUACUGAGAUUCAAAGAUCAUACUUAGCAAGGACUCUUCUAACGUGGGAAUUUCUUUCUUUGUGUUCCACCGGAUGGGGCCCACCAGAUCAGAUCAAGCUACGGUGGAACGCAAUAUAUUAAGAGUAUUAGGUAUAGUCCAAUUUGUAAAGGUUGCAUGCCAAAGUAAGGCACGUAAUCUACUAGGAGUCCAGGUUGAGUUUUGUUUUACUACUAGGAUUGGUUGUUUAUUUUUCAGAUUAGACGCAGGUCGGCUAUGUACUAUAAAUAGCCAGCGUGGUGCAUCGUUGUACGCAGGUUAUUUUGAGAUGAAUUAGACAUUGUGUGUGUUUUGGCCGCCAUUAUCGAGAUUAGAGAAUUCUUGUCAACAAUCUCUACUAGCGUGUGAGUUCCUGCGACGCGUAGGAGAUUACAAAUUGAGCCUAUACGGUUCGUUCAUGUUAUUCCUUCGGAUUGAGGGGUUGACGUGUUGUUUCCGCGGGAUUCACGAGCAUCUUCGUAAACCUGUAGCGAGUUCUUGCUGUGAUGGAUUUUUGUGCCAUGAAAGAUCGGGCCAACAACGGACCGACCCUCGUCACGAGGUUCGCUCCACAUCAGGAGCUACUCGCCACAUGCAUGAUGGCAGACGAGCAGGAGGCGCUGCUCGAGUCCGCUAGGACCGCUGGUGCUAGCGCCAAUAUCAGGAGGAUUUACAGGCCCGACCCCGUCGACGGCGACGAGGUUGGCAGCUUCGUGACGGUUGUUGCACGGCGCAACAGCGACGACACUGGCACGUCUACGGGAGCCGCCGACAGCAAGAAAGAGUAGUGCGCAGGUCCCAAGAAGGCCUCCGAUCCUUCCCUCCCGUUGAGACUAAGCUUGGCGACCUGUUCAUCGCUGGUCGAUUAGCCACUCAAGUUGUGGAGGCAGAGUUGGAGACCGCCGAAACGGAGUUGGAGACUGCGAAUGUGACCGGUCGUGCUUCACUUUGCGUCGCUCACGACAGGACAUGGGGUACAGGCGCAGACAAUCAUUUAGAUUAGGUUUAGAGUAGGGCUUAAUAAUAUAAUUAAUGUCGUCUGGUCUGCAUGAAAACCAACCGAUUGGGAUGAAAUUUAUCCGGUUUAUUCAAAUGUGGCUUGAAAUACAUGCGGGUAGCGUUGGACGACCGGCUCCCUGCAUCCGUGUUCACGGAGUGAUCCCCACCGAUCCGUGGACGGACGUGGUGUUCCUUUUUUGCGUGUCAGCAUUGGAGAUGUAAGGUGUUUAUCUAGCGGUGCUUGGGGAUUUAAUGUUGGUUCGGUAAUGGCGUUGCGCCUCCUUCCACCUCCUCCACUACGGUUUCGAGGCGCGCCACACCGAACCCGACCCGUGCCAGGUGACAGGGAAAAUGGACCUCGUCACCCGCCGCAGCUUUCUCCUCCCCACAGCAAGCACGGGCAUUGACGACGUGUACUCUAUGGUCAAGCAGGAGUGCAGGACCAGCUGAUUCGCCGCUGCUCGCCUGAGAAUGGCGCCAUGCCGGUAUACUAGCACUGCGGCUGCCCGAAGAUCCGGAACAAACAUCGCCGCCCAACUUGAGUAGUGGCAUGAGUCGUACGCUGUCUUCAUAGGUGCUAUUGCUAACGAGCAAAUGGCGCCACACACCAUGCAUCCUCAUGCGUCAAGCCGGCAAUCCUGCCAAUGAGCACCCGACCUGAAUGGGUAGGGUAUGGGUGGUCGACUUGGCCCAUGGGUCUUACCCAUGGGUAACCUGAUUAGUCGUGGGUAGGGUAUGAGCAUAGAAUCAUGCCCAUGGGUUACCCACUCUUGAGGUGUGGGUAACAAAUUGUGUUCAUACUUUGAAAAGUGUAUCAUCAUUCUUGCGCUAAUUGAGGUGUGGAUGUACUCACUCUUUUUUUUUUUUGAGCAUGUGGACGUACUCACUCUAAUUGAGGUGCAUUUGCGUUUAUUGGGGUAGCUUCGUACUGAUGGGUCAUAUUAUAGGAACAUUAUCAUUUUCAAUCACUUUCCUUGAGUUUAUGUUUGAUUAACGGUUUGAUGAUAGCAUGCAUGCAUAAACGCAAUGAAUGGAUGGAACAUGGCAUGAAAUGCCCAUGCAUGAUGCAUGCAGCUGCGCGGCUAUUUGCAUGAAAGCGACGACCGACCCAUCUGGACGUGGACAAGUGAAGACGGAUGGACGGGCGUACCGUGUUGUGCAUGCAUUGGCCUCAGCUGUAAACUUGCUGCUUUCUUCUUCUUUUUUGCGAGGAAAACUUGCUGCUUUCUCUUUUUUUUUGCGAGGAAAACUUGCUGCUUUCUAGCUAGCCAGCCACCCAACCCCCCUUAUUGCAAGUGGCCAUACGCCAAAACAGGCAAACUCCACCUGCUCCAACCAGUACCAUUAGUAGUUUCACACUGCGAAGCACAUGUUGGACCGCGUUUUGCUAACUCAAUUCUUUUUUCUGGCUGUUGGAUGAGGAGUUUUUCACACCGUCGAUCCUCCGGCUAGGCUAGGAGAAGCGUUUGUGUGCUACAUUAGCAUUCUGCACGCGGAGUGGACCACUCCUGCUAUCACCCAGUCUGCUACACCAACCACCCCCGAACCGCCGGAUCUAUUGAUUUCUGAGCACAAAUAGCGGGCCGGGGGAACCCUCUACUGCAAAUAAGCAAAACUGAGCAGAGACCUAUUGAUUUCCCUAUCUGAAAGAGGACUGUCUUUCCUUAGUGUUAGACUGUAUAUACGUAGCCUCUGUAUUGUAACGUUGUAUUGUACCCCUUGGGUACCUCUAUAUAAUGAGAUAGCCACACCCUGGUUAGGGGUGUCGUGCAGUUCCCAAAAUAUCUUGUUUUACAUGGUAUCAGUUUAGGUCACGAUCACGAUGUCUUCCGCUGCUCCCGCCGCCGCCGCCGUCGCGCCGACCUCCGUCGCCGCGGCCGCCGCCGAGCCGGUCCUUGCCCCUUCUUCGCCGUUCCUCGCCUCUGGGCCUCUCGUGGCGGCCUAUGGGGCCCCGCCGCCGCCUGGGUCCCCGAUCCAAUCUCGCCCGCAUGGCGAGACCUCGGGUGACCUAGCCCCAGUCGCGGCCGAUGCCGCCGCGCCGCCGCUCUACGGCGCCGCCCCGCCGCCGGCCUAUGGCGCUACCGCGCCCUCGCCCUACGGCUACUACCCGUAUGGCGCGCCUCCGAUGGCUCCUGGUGCUCCGCCGCUGCCGCCAUCCUCGUGGCCGGCGUUUGGUGCGCCGCCUCUACAUCAACCACCGGCGGCGCCACCGAGCCACCCCAAUGGAUCUUCGCCGUUGCCUCCCCAGUACCCCUACGCAGCCUACCCAGGGCCGCACGGGGCUGCGGCCUCUUACGCAGGAGAGGCGGCUGCCUCGCUACAGCCAUCGUACGGGGCUGCGGCCGCGCCACAGCCGCAUCCUCCCGGGGCCGCGGUCGUCCCGCCCUACGGGGCCCACGCUGCUGGUCCUCCCGGGUUUUCCGCACUGUAUCCGGUGUCUGCUGCUCAUACCGACCCGGUCGCCGCGUCAUCACCGUUCUACUUUUCAUAUCUGCUACCGGUGAAGCUUGCGCCGGAUAAUUACUUGUCCUGGCGUGCCCAGGUGUUGCCUCUUCUGCGGAGCCGCUACUUGGAGGGAUAUGUUGACGGGUCCAUACCGUGUCCACCACCCCACCACCCAGCGUACCACACCUGGGUGGCCCAGGAUCAGGCCAUCCUCUCCGCCAUCCAGUCCUCGCUCACCCCGAGCGUCUCGUCGCUGGUCAUCUUCGCCGCUACAUCCCGGGAGGCGUGGGCGGCGCUUCACACCAGUUUUGCCUCUCAGUCUCAGGCGCGUGCUCACUCUAUCCGCACCGAGUUGGGUGAGACAAAGCUUGGUGACCUCAGCAUCACCGACUACUUCAACAAGAUGCGGGGUCUCGCAGACACAUUGGCCUCCAUCGGCCAGUCGCUACAGGAUCAGGAGUUCACCACCUUCGUACUGAAUGGGCUUGAUGAUGAUUAUGAAAAUCUCAUUGAGAACGUUCACGGUCGCGAUGACCCGCUACCACCUCGUGAGCUCUACGCCCGUCUGCUUGGCCGCGAGCAGCGCAUCAAGGCGCGCCGCUCCUCUCCCAGUUUCGCCUCCGCCAAUACCGCAACUCGCGGCAAGCCUCAGCGGUCAUCUUCGUCCGGAGGCAAACCAGCGCUGCUACUCAGAAUGGUGCUGCUGAGCGUAAGCAUCGUCAUCUUGUUGAAACUGGCUUAACCUUGCUCGCUCAUGCCUCCGUCCCGUUUCGGUUCUGGAGUGAUGCUUUCUCUACAGCUUGUUUUCUUAUAAACAGGCUACCCUCGAGGCUUCUGAAAAUGCAAACUCCGCUUGAGCUCUUGCUUAAUGAGACUCCGGACUACACUUUCUUUAAGGUGUUUGGGUGUGCCUGCUGGCCUCAUCUCCGUCCAUACAACAAGCGCAAGCUAGCGUUCAGGUCUAAGAAGUGUGUCUUUCUUGGGUACAGUUCUAUUCACAAAGGGUACAAGUGCUUACAUGUUCCUACCAACCGCGUCUACAUCUCUCGUGACGUUGUGUUUGAUGAAAAUGUGUUUCCCUUUCGUGCACUUCCGACAGACCUCACCACUUCCACUUCCACACCACCAAUGCCUGUGUCUACACCUACGCCUGAUCAGUUUGUGGAUGUUGCAUAUGCCCCUGCGUUGCUUCCUAAUCAUGCUGCAGGUAUUGGACGCGGUGCUCGGCUCGAGCUCCUUGAUGAACAGGUCGCCGAUGAUUCUUCUGGUCGGGACGUGCAUGUGCCAUGCAUAACGGGUGGCACCCGCCAACCCGUUCUCUGGUCGCCCGAGGCGGCUGGCCCGCCUGGCUCACCCACGCCAGCGCCAGCGGCGGGUGCCUCGUCCGCCUCGUCCGACUCGCAGGACCCGGCCACCCCAGUAGCCGCCUCGCCCGGCUCGCAGGCUUCGCCAGUGGCCAUCUCGCCCGACCCGCGAGCCUCGUCCACACCAGCGGGACCCUCGCUCGGCUCGCCUGGCUCGCGGGCGUCACCAGCCUUGCGUGGCUCGCCUGGGCCACUGGCGGGGGCGUCCCCUGGGCCGGCUGGUGCUGUCGCUAGCCCAGCGGCCUCGUCGCCUGCCUCGGCCACCGGGGAGCCUGACUCGCCGGACUCGGCUUUGGCCUCGUCCAUGAUCUCUGCUGAUUCUGCUCCAGCUCCGGCUCCGGCAGAUUCUGCCGUCACACUUCGACCGCGCACACGGAGCCAGUCUGGUGUGUUUCGCCCGAAAGAGCGGACAGAUGGCACGGUUGCAUGGCUUGCUGCGUGCAUGGCUCAUACUGCUGGCGACCCUCAUGCAGAGCCUCGUCAUUUUCAGGCUGCGUUGAGUAUUCCUCAUUGGCGUGCUGCAAUGGAACAAGAGUUUUAUGCCCUCCAACAGAAUGAUACUUGGCGUCUUGUUCCUCCAAAGUCUGGCGUCAACAUCAUUGAUUCCAAGUGGGUUUUCAAGGUCAAGCGCCAUGCUGAUGGUUCCAUUGAACGUUACAAGGCACGGUUAGUCGCCAAGGGCUUCAAACAGAGGUAUGGUCUUGAUUAUGAAGACACGUUCAGUCCAGUUAUCAAGCCUACUACCAUUCGGUUACUACUGUCUCUUGCGAUUACUUGUGGAUGGUUCCUUCGUCAGCUUGAUGUACAGAAUGCCUUUCUCCAUGGCAUUCUGGAGGAGGAGGUUUAUAUGCGUCAGCCGCCUGGUUUUGUUGAUCCGACACGACCUCAUCAUCUCUGUCAUCUGGUCAAGGCGCUGUAUGGACUGAAACAGGCUCCUCGUGCAUGGCAUGCUCGCCUUGGAUCCGUUCUUCAGGCUCUUGGGUUUACUCCAUCCACUGCUGAUACAUCACUGUUCCUCCUCCAGCGCCCUGAGGUUACGAUGUAUAUCCUGGUUUAUGUUGAUGAUAUCAUCCUUGUCAGUUCUUCGGCUGCUGCAGCUGAUCGCCUUGUGGUUGCUCUUCGUGAUGAUUUUGCUGUCAAGGAUUUGGGUGCUCUUCACUUUUUCCUUGGUCUUGAGGUUUCACGGUCCUCUGCAGGUUUGACUCUCACUCAGAAGAAGUACUCCUUGGACUUGUUGCGUCGUGCUGGAAUGCUCAAAUGCAAACCUGUUCUCACUCCGAUGUCUGCUACUGGUCGGUUGUCUGCUCUUGAUGGUGACUCUCUCUCGGCUGAUGAUGCUACUGAGUAUCGCAGUAUUGUUGGUGGUCUGCAAUAUCUCACUAUCACCAGGCCUGAUAUCUCCUAUGCAGUUAACCGUGUCUGUCAGUUUUUGCAUGCACCCAGGACGUCUCACUGGUCAGCCAUCAAGCGUAUUUUGCGCUAUGUCAGUAGUACUGCUGCCUAUGGUCUGCAUCUUCAGCCUGCACCGUCAUAUGAGCUCUCGGCCUUCUCUGAUGCCGACUGGGCUGGUUGUCCGGAUGACAGGCGAUCCACGGGGGGUUAUGCGGUAUUUCUGGGUCCUAACUUGAUCGCCUGGAAUGCUCGCAAGCAAGCAACUGUGUCUCGCAGCAGUACUGAGGCUGAAUACAAAGCCGUUGCUGAUGCAACUGCUGAGAUCAUAUGGGUACAGUCUCUGUUGAGAGAGUUGCGUGUUCCUCAAGCUCGUCCUCCAGUUCUGUGGUGUGACAACAUUGGUGCUACAUAUCUUUCUUCUAAUCCAGUGUUUCAUGCAAGAACAAAACACAUUGAGGUGGAUUAUCACUUUGUUCGGGAACGUGUUGCACAGAAGCUACUCUGUAUCAAGUUCAUCUCAUCAAAGGAUCAACUUGCUGACAUCUUCACGAAGCCUCUACCACAACCACAGUUUGUAGGCUGUAGGCGCAAUCUUAACUUGCUUUGUACUUCAGGACAUAGUUAAGAUUGAGGGAGGGUGUUAGACUGUAUAUACGUAGCCUCUGUAUUGUAACGUUGUAUUGUACCCCUUGGGUACCUCUAUAUAAUGAGAUAGCCACACCCUGAUUAGGGGUGUCGUGCAGUUCCCAAAAUAUCUUGUUUUACACUUAGAUAUAUAGUUAAGGUCAUUUCUUCUCCUGCCUACAUGCCGCAGCCACCCGAUUUACGUAACCAUUAGAACACCCCUUCCAUCUUGGAAGAAUCUGGACAUACUUUGCAUCCUAUCAUACUGGUUUUACAAGUUACAUACUUACAUCCCAUGUUUCUAUCUUAACACCAGUAUCUAUCUAUCAUCCUAUAUUUCCUAACCAUUGACUUGUGUCACGUAGGUGCGUAACAAAAUUUUUGCUGCUUACUCAUAAAAAUUCUCCGUUAGCGAAAAUCGGGAAAUUUGAUUUGCAUCAUGCAUAAUAGACCACCGACAGGUAAUUAACUUGAAAUAAUACUUAAAAAGCUUGGAAAGUAGUCUGCACGAGUGGAGCCAAAGGUUAUAAGCAACACAACACAAUAAAGAUUAUUGGAGUCCAAAAGAAAACACAAAAUUGUACACGUUUGGUAAUAAUGUUGCAUAUUAUUUUCUCCGUUCGGAAUUACUUGUCCACAAAAUGAAUGUAUCUAGAUGUAUUUUAGUAUGACCCAAUUUAACUAAAAGACCGUUUUAGUAUGACCCAAUUUUCUAGUGGCUUGAAUUAUACUCCUACUUUACACUUACAAAGAUAAAGAAAGACUCCCCUACGCUCACAUCCAUGACUCUGGUUUUGAUUUCAGCGCAGGAGAAAUGGGAGGAUGGCUGAACCAGAUGACGCAGUUCAUGGAUUUAUGGAUGAUCCGGAUAGCAGUUCUUUCAAGCUUCGCUGCGCACCUUGUACUCAUCCUCCUUGCCGGGAUCCGUCGGCAUAAAGCUUCGGGCGGGAGAGUGCUUGUUCUGUGGCUGGCGUACCAGCUGGUCAACUGGGCCGCGGCAACCUGUCCUUCGGCAGCAGGUCGCAGCAGCAUCCGCAGCUGGUGGCGUUCUGGGCGCCCUUCCUCCUGCAGCAUCUGGGCGGCCCGGACAACAUCAGCGGCUACUCCCUCGAGGACAAUGUGUUGUCAGGGAGGCAAGCACUCAAUGUCCUGGUGCAGGUCGGGGGAGCCAUCUAUGUGGUGUACAAGCACAUAUACCUCGGCGGCGGCGACACGGCUUUGUUUCAGGCAUCUAUCAUCAUUCUCGCUGCCGGUGUCGCCAAGUAUGUGGAGAGGGUAUUGGCGCUAUGGAAAGGCAACUUGGGCAAGAUCCGGAACUCAUGCAAGAAGAAGCAACUAAGCAGAUCCACUCAUGUGGAAGAGGGAACUGUGCUGGAUAAUGAGCAAGCCCUGAUGUUUGCCCACGAGAUGUUCCCACUCUGCCAGCGUGCAAUGACUGAUUCUUCUGUCAACAUGGAUUCACCUGACCUUGAUGUAAGCAGAGACAUGUUCUCUUUUGGGUGGGAGAGUAUGUGCAAGGUGCUGGAGAUGGAGCUCUCUCUCAUGUAUGACAUCCUCUACACCAAGGCAGCCAUGGUGCACAGCUGGGGCGGCUACUUGGUCCGGUUUAUUUCGCCGCUCGCCACCGCAGUGGCAUUCGCCUUGGUCGCCUUGGUCGCCUCAGCAUGUGUGUUGCCUUGGAACAGUAGCAUUCGCUUCAUGUUCCUCGUUGCCGCACGCCGGCACAUGCUACCGGGCCUUGUUCUCCUCAGCCUCUACGAAGUAACAUUUGAGGCUCUGCGGGACAAAUGGAAAACCACCGGCAGAGAGGAGAAGUUUGCUAUGAUCAUGCAUGACAAGAGGAAUGAGGACACCGAGUGGGUUUCGGAGGAUGAUAGUAAAACACGCCUUGUCGACGACGGACUUAAUAUUGCCAGGGUGCUGCUCGCCGCCAAUAAGUCGGAGAUGCCGGAACUGUUCCAACGUGUGGGUGGACAAGCUGCUGUAUGCGGGCACCCGAUGCAGCCGGGAAUCCCAUGCCAAGCAGCUUGGCCGUGGCGGUGAGCUCACGACCAUCGUUUGGAUUUUGGCAGAACAUGCUGGCCAGUUUCAGAUCGGUCAGUGCGGGCCAGACCAUAGGCCACGGCUGCGAUGAGGCUAUAAUAAUAUAGUCGAGAUUUUAAAGACACCGUAUGCUGUAAUAUGGCAGUACCACAUAUACAAGUCACCUCCCGAUUUGCUUGUACCACCUUGUGACGAUAUGGUUGAUGAUGUAAUGUAACCAUUCUGUCUAGCUAAUAAUUAAAAUUAAUCCACGUUGGGCUACAAAAGAGAGAAGCCAUGGUGUGUAUUCUAUUCAUGCUCUUCAGGAAUACUACUACGUAUAUAUUUUGUAGCAAGCUUGUCUCUGUAGAGCUUGUUCUCUUUUGCGAUAAAACAAACAAAAGCUUAUGCUGGAUCAGGAGGGAAUAGAAGAACUAAGCUUCCAAAUUAUAAGGCCAUCCAGCUUUCAUGUCUUCCAGCCAACUGAAUGACUGAUGUUUAAAACUAUCAGGACAACGUUUCUAGUACAACAUACACAAGAUGAAAGGGUGAAAAGGAGUACCAUGCUGCAUUCUGUUGUCGUGCUAUGCAUUCUUCGGGCAUCACAUUGCCUAGAUACGACAACCUCGAUAUCUCUACCUCCUGAAGGAGGACGCAAUGAGCCGAACUUGGCUUGGGAUUUACACAAGUGGUUACGAACUUCACUCUAAAGCCCAUCUACAAGAUAUGAGACGAUCGGACACCGACCAUUUACAACAACUAAUCCCUUCGACGUAGCAGCAGUCAGCCCAUCACCGCUGACAGUUUUUUCCCGACUCAUAAGCACACUAUGGACAACGCGCUGCGCCACCAGGCUGCGCGUAAUUUGGAGAGUUAAUUACACAAAACUAUCACAUUGGAAGCUAGGUUUGCAGAAAACCAUCACUCCAUGAUUUCGUAGCAAAAAACAUGUCUAUGGCUAAUAACCUAGCAAACAACACUGAAUGGGCAGCUUAGAUCAUUUUGUUGACUUUUCUGACAUAAGGGCUUGUUGGGUAGGGAGAUGUGGCCUAAAAAGUUGCCCCGUAGGCGUCUCUCUCUCUCUCUCUCUCUCCUGCCCUUAACACCGCUCAUCGCCAUUGCAGGAGCUUAGCUUGCUACCAGUGAGCUCCAGCCGCCGCCCCAAGCUUUUUUUUAGACAAAGAGAGGGGAGAAAUAGAGAUGGAAGAAGAUAUAGUAGACUAGUCAACACGUCCAUGUGGCAAAUAAUUUUGCCAAGAUAGCUCUGAUGACCUGGUCCCACCAGUCAUAAACGCGCUUAAAACACCUAAGCUACCGAUCAGUGUUAUUUGCUAGGUCAUUAGCCAUAGACAUGUAGUCUGGUAAUUUUUUGCACACCUAGCCCUCAGUGUAGCGAUUUUGUGCAAUUAACUCGUAAUUUGGACUCCAUGUCAGAUACUUCAUCUGUGAAAUCCUUUCAGAUUAUAGCAAUAUGAGCAAAUUAAAGUGCAGUGGCCAUACGCCCGAUCAUAACAAAAAGAGGUGGAUGUUCAUAGUUUUUACAUGCACUCGACCAAAAAAGUUUCAGUAGUCCAGCAAUCUAUGCAAAAAAGGUAUUUUUGCCCUCCCAGACCGGUUGUCCAUGCCUCCUCGCUCACUAUAUCGCUGGCUCCUCCGCAUCAGUUGCCUCUUGCUCAGCCGCCAAGUGCUUCAUCAUCCUAACACAGACGGUGUGCCUGGUCAUUGCCGCAUCGCGAUCCAACUCGUCCAUCUUCACGAUUAACAUUUUGGUAUCCUCCAAAGGGGCCGCGAGCUCAACCUCCUCUCUCCGAGCUUGGUUUUCUUCUCUUCGAGGUUGGUUUUAUGAGUCGAACAAAUCAAAGUUUGUGUACAAGGCAUCAUGGCAAACAACAUUCUUGCUAGCUAGUUUGGUCAGUAACAUGUGUAUCUAGGACAACUGCUGAGUCAACACAAUUGUGUUCGAAUAACAUCAAAGCUGCAGAAGUACAUGUGAAGGCUUGAACCAAGAUGCAUUCUAGAACAUGUGGAGUACUUGUGAAAAUGAUAGGAAGAUGUAUUGUACAAUGUGAAGAAUCGAUAAAAGCUUAUGUUGAUGAAUUGUACAUUCUGAUGGCUCAUUAGCUAAAGUUGAAAUCAACAUUUUAAAGCUUAGCCUCCAUUCCAAAAGAGAUGAAUCGAUGAAAUCAACAUUUCAAAGAUUAGUUUCAAAAGCCAAUGAUGUGCAUGCUUGACCAAGUUUUUAGAAAACAAAUAUCAAUAUCUACAAUACCAAAUUUGUAUCAUUAGAUCCAACAUGAAACGUAUUUUCAUAUUUAAUUUAAUUUAUAUUGUGCAUGUUAAUAUUUUAUUAUAUAAUAUUGAUCAAAUAUAAAUAAGUUUGACUUGCAUGAAAAUUGUUGCACCUUAUAGAAUGAAGGGAGUAGUAACAUGAAUGCACUGCUGGAACUAAUUGAAGUUGCAUAUAGUCGAUGAACACAUUAUACAAUCCACACAAAGUGCAAACAAAAUACUGGAGUAUAUGAUAUCAUAUUGACAAACAAUUAAUGUAUGGCAUGGGCUCAAUAUGAUAAAUAAUAUAGUACAAGAUACAACAACUAUCAACCAUACACAUGUACUAUAUGCACCGUUCCUACUGGCAACAAAUGGAAACAAAUAAUAGAACACGGAGGUGGAUCACGAAGAUAUACCCAAUAACUUACACACAUGAUGUAUGAUAAAUAGUAGCAAGUUCUUCCAUGCGUGCAUGAAAUCUAUGGAAAUGAAUGGCAAGCCAACCCCUCCGAUUGUUGUACUAUUUGUCUAUAAAUAGGUAUCAUAAACUCCAUCGUUCAUUCACCCAUGGAGAACAUUCAACAAACUUCUAGUCCCACAUAAAAUUCUGAAAAUAGUAAUUCUCAGAAAUAUGAGACGUCGGGAAAGUUUUACGUUGUGGCACAUGGCUUGACAGAGCUAAUUUUUUUGAAGUCUCGAGGAGAACCUCAAGACGAUGUACUGGAGCUCUUUUUCAAUCAAUGUGACCUGAAAUACGGUGUUGGCGCUAUUAUUUGAUUGGCUCCACUUUACAAAAUAUGCUCCAAUUCUCUAUGAUUUAGAGAAAAUUGGAGGUUAACACGCGCUUCGUUGUGCCAUUCUUUACUCGUGCAAUUGUCUUUCAUCUUUAGCAGGUUACUAUGAUCAGUUUUUUUUCUAUGUUGACUUGGGUGUUAAGUAUGUUCUGGUGAUGUUUUUUUAUCGUAUAUCGUGAUGGGGCGCUGCUAGAGAUGAUACUUAUUAUAAUAGGAGAGUGGGGUUGUCUGGCGUGUGGUUGUGGUGUCCUUACACAUUCUAGCUUUGGUGUGAGCUCUAUUCUAGCUUUGGUGUGGUAGUGGGCCGGCCCAUGAAGCUCCCGCUCGCUACGCUCAACUCGCUCAUUUAGAGAGAAAAAAUCCGCCCCACUUCACUUCUAUAUCUAAUAAAAAGAUGUCUAACUUUUAUUUGAAAAAUUUAUUAAAUCAAAAUAUGUUCAUAUAUUUUUUAAAAUCUUGGAUUUUUAAAGAAAAAGAAAACAUAAAGCCUUAACCAAGGAUACACAGCCUUGCAGGCGGCACCCCAUCGACCCUAGAGCCCGAGGCUCCAAAACUAGGAAGUUUCUAAAAAAUGUUCACAAAUUUAAAUAAAUAUCCAUGAAUUAAAUGUGAAAAAGAUAUAAGAGAAAAGAGAAGAAAACCCCAACGAAGGGCCUCCAACGACCCCACAUCCGUCGACGCACCAUGAACCUCCAAAUCUAGGGAGCAUUGUAUUUUAGUAGAUACUCCCUCUGUCCCAAAAUAUAAAAACGUUUUUAACACUACACUAGUGUUAAAAACGUUCUUAUAUUAUGGGACGAAGGGAGUAGAUCUUACACUAUAUGUAAUGAAAAUGUAAUCCUUGACAAAUGGAAAAUGCAAAAUCCAUACGCCGUAAUGAAAAUCUAGAGUAGGAUUGAAAUCCAUUGGUUGCUUAGAGUCAUGUAGUAUCCACGUCUUUAUGUGAUGGAUAUAUCCCACAAGUAUUAACACUACAUGACCAGCUUUCAGUAUACCAUUGAGUUGAAAUACACGUUGGGUGCUCAGGCUCGCGUAGGAUCAUAGUCUUGUUUCUUAGCACUGAAACAAUAUCCAACAUUUGGCAAUCAUUCUUGCUGCAUUCUUUUGUACGCAUAUUUGAUAGCAGUGCAGUGCUGAAUGCCGAUGCACCCCUCAUCCUUUCUGCCGAGUGACACAUGGUCCAUAGUGAUCCUUCUUUCCCUCUUUCAAAGUUGCCAAAGGUUCGGAAUGGAAGAUUUGCAAAUUAAAAAGUUUCCAAAUGCGUGUGAUGAACACCUACAGCACAUACGGUUCGUCGACCAAAUAUGUGUACGAUGAAUGCCAACAACACACACAUUUCUAAUGCGACGGGCGUGCGAUGAACACUUACGUGCACAUGUUUCAUUGAGGACUAACGUGUGCGGUGAACAACAACAACACACCAGUUUCUACCACGGAACAUGUGCAAUUAACCCCUACCGCACCCACGUUUCGUCCAUGGCAAACAUGGGCGAUUAACCCCUACCACACACAAAUUUCAUUUACGUCACGUGUGUGAUGAUGGAUGCAUCGAAAAGGGUGUGUUGUUGAAGAGCAUGUGUGAUAGGUACCCUUAUCUCACACGCUCAGAUAGGAGAAAACAUGUGCAACAAGAGUAGCACCGCACACAUUUUGCAUAUCCUAAACAUGUGUGAUGGAUGAUGCAUCGCAAAUGGUGUGGUGGAGUGAAGUGUGUGAUAGUUAUGUCAUUGCACAUUCUCAAUCCUUAUGAAUCGUCACAUAGCAAACAUUGCGCCACAGUGCAACUUGUGUGAUAGGCAUGUCAUUCCACACGAUGUCCACGGGGGAGACGUUUGGGAUGUUGGAUGUAUUGCAAACGAAUACAUGAGGGGUCACCUGUGCUGGGAUAACGCAUACGAUUGCUUUUUGCCAAAACGUCUCCAUCCUUGGACCCUACUGAACACGAUUGUCAUGUAUCGUGUGUGAUGGACCCCCCCCCCCCUCCCUAUCGCACACCUUCGCAAGGCGACGGUUCAUGACCACAUUAGCGAAACGGGGUUUUAAGUGUGUGCGAUAGGCUUAACUGCGUUAGUGGAUCUUGCUAGGGAGAUUACGAAUAUCCUUGGUAGGUACAUAGUUUCAUCAUCAUUUGUAGUGUUUACCAGGACAUUGUUUAUACUCUUGAAGUUAUCUCUUGUUAUUUCUGAGUCCUGAGAAUGAAAAAUAACCGCCUUCCCAUAAACUAAGAAAGGUUUAGGUGUAUGUCUGAAAACCAACUACUGUUUAUCAUUGUAACAUUACUGAGGCAAAUACUAGCAUACUUUUGAAGAGUGCUCAAGAAAUAAGGGUGAGAAUAUUGACCGUGUUUGCUUUUCUAAACCACUUCAAGAAAUUGUAUGUUAAUUGCUCAUCAUAUUUCUGAUGAAAGUAUGUAUGUACUAUUUACUUGUGUCUAGCAUCACCAUUUCAGCAUGUACAUAGACAAAUCUGUAUGGGUUAAUUAAUAUCGUCGACUAUGCCAUUUAGCUAGGAAUUAAUGCUUUUAUGUGCAACUACUACGUCGCAUCCCUGCGAUCUGCAAAGGAAACAAUCAUUUUAUCAAUUUAAUACAUACUAUAGAGUAGAACAAAUCGAAGUCUGUGAAUAUGUCAUCAUGGCAAACAACAUUCUUGCUAGCUAGUUUGGUUAGUAGCAUGUGUAUCUAGGACAAUUGCUAAGUCAACACAAUCGUGUUUGAAUAACAUCAAAGUUGUAGAAGUACGUGUGAAGGCCUGAACCAACAUGCAUUCUUGAACAUGUGAAUACUUGUGAAAAUGACAGGAAGAUGUAUUGUACAAUGUGAAGAAACGAUAAAAGCUCCUUUUGAUGAAUUGUACAUUCUGAUAGCUCAUUAGCUAAAGUUGAAAUCAACAUUUCAAAACUUAGCCUCCAUUCCAAAUGAGAUGAAUCAAUAAAAUUGACAUUUCAAAGAUUAGUUUUUUCAAAAGCCAAUGAUGUGCAUGUUUGACCAAGCUUUUGGAAAACAAAUAUCAAUAUCUACAGUACCAAUAUUAAUUUAUUUAAUAUUGGAUAUGUUGAUAUUUUAUUAUAUAAUCUUGGUCAAAUAUAAAUAAGUUUGACUUGCAUGAAAAUUGAUGCACCUUAUAUUCUGGAAUGGAGGGAGUAGUAACAUGAACGCACUACUGGAACUAAUUGAAGUUGCAUGUAGUCGAUGAACACAUUUACAGUCCACACAAAGUGAAAAAAACUAUAUGAAAUCAUCUUUACAAACAAUUAAUGUAUGGCAUGGGCUCAAUAUGAUGAAUAAUAUAGUACAAGAUACAACAACUGUCAACUAUACACAUGUACUAUAUGCACCGUUCCUACUGGCAACAAAUGAAAAUAAAUCAUAAAACACGGAGGAGGAUCACGAAGAUAUACCCAAUAACUUACGCACAUGAUGCACAAUAAAUACUAGCAAGUUCUUCCAUGAAUGCAUGAAAUCUAUGAAAAUGAAUGGCAAGCCAACCCCUCCGGUUGUGCUACUGUUUGUAUAUAAAUAGGCAUCAUAAACUCCAUCGUUCAUUCACUAAUGGAGAACAUUCAAGGAACUUCUAGUCUCGCAUAAAAUUCUUGAAAAUAGUAAUUCUUAGAAAUAUGAGACGUCAGGAAAGUUUUACGUUGUGGCGCAUGGUUUCACAAAGUUAAUUUUUUGGAAGUCUCAGGGAAAACCACAAGGUGAUGUACUGCACCUCUUUUUCAAUCAACGCGACCUGAAAUACGAUGUUGGCGCUAUUAUUUGAUUGGCUCCACCUUACAAAAUAUGGUCCAAUUCUCUAUCAUUUAGAGAAAACUGGAGGUUAACACAUGCUUCGCUGCUCCAUUCUUUACUCGUGGGAUUGUCUUUUAUCUCUAGCAGGUUAUUGUGAUCGGUUGUUUUGUUUUUUUUUCUACGUUGACUUGGGUUUUAAGCAUGUUUUGGUGGUGUUCUUUUAUUUGUAUAUCGUGAUGGGGCGCUGCUAGAGAUGAUACUUAUUCUAAUAGGAGAGUGAGGUUGUUUGGCGUGUGGUUGUGGUGUCCUUACACAUUCCAGCUUUGCUGCGAGUUCUAUUCUACAUUGAAACCAUGGAAUUGCUAUCAUAACAUUCACAUGGGCCGGCCGACGAAGCUCCCGCUUGCUACGCUCGGAUCCCUGCUGAACUCGCUCAUUUAGCAAAAAAAAAAAAAAUCCUGCUUGCCUAAAAGAUGGCUAUCUUUUAUUUGAAUUUUUUUAUUAAAUGAAAAUAUGUUCAUAGAUUUUUAAAAAUCUUGGAUUUUUAAAGAAAAGGCAAACAUGAAGCCUUUACCAAUGAUACACAGCCUUGCAGGCGGCACCCCAUCGACCCUAGAGCCUAACACACCAUGAGGCUCCAAAUCUAGGAAGUUUCUAAAAUGUUCACAAAUUUAAAUAAAUAUCCAUGAAUUAAAUGUGAAAAGAGUUAAAAGAGAGCCCUCGACACACCAUGAACCUCCAAAUCUAGGGAGCAUUAUAUUUUCAUAGAUAGAUGUUACUCUAUAUGUAACAAAAAUGUAAUCCUUGACAUAUGGAAAAUGCAAAAUCCAUAUGCCGUAAUAAAAAUCUACAGUAGGAUUGAAAUCCUACGGGUGCGUUUGGUUUGCAGGAUAGGCUAGGGUGGUUGUGGGUAUCCCCAACCGACCGGCUAGGGAUAGCCUAUUUUUCUGUUUGGUUGUUUUGGUGAGGUUAGCCACUAUUUUGUUUGGUUUCAAGGACGAAAGGUUAUUGGGGAUAGCUAUUGUGAGUGUUUGGUUUGAGUGAUGUAUGGCGGACGAAAUGUUUCAUGAAUUGAAGUAAACUGUGAAACCAUAUUUCUAGAAAACAGAUUAACAACAAACAAUUAGUAAUACACACUUCAAUAUUACAUAGAAGAGCCAGUCCAUAUAGUACAUAGUUCUUCCAUGUACAAUAGAAGAAUUCUUCAAUAAUACAGCUCAAAGUAUACUUCUCCGAUGUGUUUUGAAACGAGCCCCGGAAGAACCAUUGUGUGCACAAAGACUGAAACGAAAUCAGGGGCACAAUGUUCAGAGUUCAGAAAACUAGCACAUGAUUCAAAUAUAAUUGAUUUAUGCACAGCAGCUUCCGCCGGUCGUGCACGCCCUCAGGCGCCUACCCCUCGCCGCCUUGUACGCCUACGACCACGAUCGCGCAGCUUCCGCCGUCGUGCGUGCCCUCAAGCGCCUCCCCCUUCCCCGUCCCAAACAACCUGCGCCGCCGUCGAAUAUGGCACGUCCCCGUCCUGCCCCGCACAACCCCAUAUCGCAGCCCCUGCCACCAGAGAGAGAGAGAGAGAGAGAGAGAGAGAGAGAGAGAGAGAGAGAGAGAGAGCUAUCCAGUAAACCAAACACACCCGUAGUAUCCAAGUUUUUAUGUGAUGGAUAUCCCGCAAGUAAUUAACACUACAUGACCAGCUUUCAGUGAUUCCUCUUCGUUUGUUCUUGAGAGGCCUCUCUUGUCUGUCUUCAGUGAUGCUAAUCAUAGCUUGCAUUGGUGAUUCUUUUGUUAAUGAUUUGGUGGAAAAAAUAAUCCUAGAGGAAAAAAGUUUAAGAUAGUUAUAAGAUUUUCAUUCAUAAAAGCUUAAUAGAGCCUGGAUUGCAAAACAUAAAAUAAAACUGGCACUUCUUUUUUUUUAGACAAGAAGGCUCAGCCGUUGAAAGAGGGAAAGAAGGAUCACUAUGGACCAUGUGUCACUCGGCAGUGCAUCAGCAUUCAGCACUGCGCUGCUAUCAAAUAUGCGUACAAAAGAAUGCAGCUAGAAUGAUUGCCAAAUGUUGGAUAUUAUUUCAGUGCUAAGAAACAAGACUAUGAUCAGAGGCCAUCUGGAUCCUAGCCUGGAGUUAGGAAAAGGGUCUGAAUUUGCAAGCCACAUACUCCGAUGCACUGACAAGCACAAAUUGAAAAUAAACAUAUGUUUGUGCAAACGAAAGAUGACAAAAAGUCCAAAGCAAAUAUGCUUCAGGUUCUCUUCUGUUCUUCAGAAGAAAUAUAACCACGGUGCCCUACACAAUAGUGUUGUUUUAAUUAUUGAGACAGACAAAAUAGCCUCGAGAGUACAGCCAGCACAUAUAUGUAGAUUUAGCAACAGGCAUCGCCAUCAGGGUAAAGGUUCCAACCGACAGCAAACCU
rnacentral:lncRNA from 1 species